CCUACGGGAGGCUGCAGUGGGGAAUAUUGGACAAUGGGCGAAAGCCUGAUCCAGCCAUGCCGCGUGUGUGAAGAAGGCCUUCGGGUUGUAAAGCACUUUCAGUGGGGAAGAAAGCCUUGGGGCUAAUACCCUCGAGGAAGGACAUCACCCACAGAAGAAGCACCGGCUAACUCCGUGCCAGCAGCCGCGGUAAUACGGAGGGUGCGAGCGUUAAUCGGAAUUACUGGGCGUAAAGCGCGCGUAGGCGGUCUGAUAAGCCGGUUGUGAAAGCCCCGGGCUCAACCUGGGAACGGCAUCCGGAACUGUCAGGCUAGAGGGCAGGAGAGGAAGGUAGAAUUCCCGGUGUAGCGGUGAAAUGCGUAGAGAGCGGGAGGAAUACCAGUGGCGAAGGCGGCCUUCUGGACUGACACUGACGCUGAGGUGCGAAAGCGUGGGUAGCAAACAGGAUUAGAUACCCUGGUAGUC
rnacentral:rRNA from 1 species